GACGAACGCUGGCGGCGUGCCUAAUACAUGCAAGUCGAACGCAGUGGGGACGGGUGAGUAACACGUGGGUAACCUCCCAUCAGAGGGGAUAACACGUGGAAACAGGUGCUAAACCGAUACUGAUGGAUGGACCCGCUGUGCAUUAGCUAGUUGGUGAGGUAACGGCUCACCAAGGCCACGCUGCAUAGCCGACCGUGGAGGGUAAUCGGCCAAAGUGUGACUGAGACACGGCCCAGCUUCCUACGGGAGGAAGCAGUAGGGAAUCUGCGGCAAUGGACGAAAGUCUGACCGAGCAACGCCGCGUGAGUGAAGAAGUUUUUCGGAUGGUAAAACUCUUUUGUUAGAGAAGCGGUAUCUAACCAGAAAGCCACGGCUAACUACGUGCCAGCAGCCGCGGUAAUAC
rnacentral:rRNA from 1 species